rnacentral:hammerhead_ribozyme from 1 species
AUUCAGCUGACGUGUCGCAAAUAGAACGAAAUGCACGUCAAACUGGAU